rnacentral:rRNA from 1 species
AGCUAAUACGGGAUGAUCAUUUUCAAUCGCAUGAUUGAAAUGUUAAAAGUGGGGAGUAAGUCCUCACACUACGAGAUGGGCCCGCGGCGCAUUAGCUAGUUGGUAAGGUAAUGGCUUACCAAGGCAACGAUGCGUAGCCGACCUGAGAGGGUGAUCGGCCACACUGGAACUGAGACACGGUCCAGACUCCUACGGGAGGCAGCAGUAGGGAAUCAUCCGCAAUGGGCGAAAGCCUGACGGUGCAACGCCGCGUGAACGAUGAAGGUUUUCGGAUCGUAAAGUUCUGUUAUGAGGGAAGAACAAGUGCCGUUCGAAUAGGGCGGCACCUUGACGGUACCUCACGAGAAAGCCCCGGCUAACUACGUG